UGGGGAAUUUUCCGCAAUGGGCGCAAGCCUGACGGAGCAACGCCGCGUGAGGGAUGAAGGCCUCUGGGCUGUAAACCUCUUUUCUCAAGGAAGAAGACAUGACGGUACUUGAGGAAUAAGCCACGGCUAAUUCCGUGCCAGCAGCCGCGGUAAUACGGGAGUGGCAAGCGUUAUCCGGAAUUAUUGGGCGUAAAGCGUCCGCAGGCGGCCUUUUAAGUCUGUUGUUAAAGCGUGGAGCUCAACUCCAUUUCGGCAAUGGAAACUGGAAGGCUGGAGUGUGGUAGGGGCAGAGGGAAUUCCCGGUGUAGCGGUGAAAUGCGUAGAUAUCGGGAAGAACACCAGUGGCGAAGGCGCUCUGCUGGGCCAUAACUGACGCUCAUGGACGAAAGCCAGGGGAGCGAAAGGGAUUAGAUACCCCUGUAGUCCUGGCCGUAAACGAUGAACACUAGGUGUCGGGGGAAUCGACCCCCUCGGUGUCGUAACCAACGCGUUAAGUGUUCCGCCUGGGGAGUACGCACGCAAGUGUGAAACUCAAAGGAAUUGACGGGGCCCGCACAAGCGGUGGAGUAUGUGGUUUAAUUCGAUGC
rnacentral:rRNA from 1 species